rnacentral:rRNA from 1 species
CCUACGGGAGGCAGCAGUGAGGAAUAUUGGUCAAUGGCCGAAGGGCUGAACCAGCCAAGCCGCGUGAAGGAAUAAGGCCCUACGGGUCGUAAACUUCUUUAGUCAGGGAACAAAGGGAGCCACGCGUGGCGCUGUGAGUGUACCUGAAGAAUAAGCAUCGGCUAACUCCGUGCCAGCAGCCGCGGUAAUACGUAGGUGGCGAGCGUUAUCCGGAAUGAUUGGGCGUAAAGGGUGCGCAGGCGGUCCUGCAAGUCUGGAGUGAAACGCAUGAGCUCAACUCAUGCAUGGCUUUGGAAACUGGAGGA